rnacentral:rRNA from 1 species
GUUUCAGCCGCCGCGGUAAUACGAAGGGGGCUAGCGUUGUUCGGAAUUACUGGGCGUAAAGCGUAUGUAGGCGGAUCGUUAAGUCGGGGGUGAAAUCCCGAGGCUCAACCUCGGAACUGCCUUCGAUACUGGCGAUCUUCGAGUCCGGGAGAGGUGAGUGGAACUCCGAGUGUAGAGGUGAAAUUCGUAGAUAUUCGGAAGAACACCAGUGGCGAAGGCGGCUCACUGGCCCGGUACUGACGCUGAAAUACGAAAGCGUGGGGAGCAAACAGGAUUAGAUACCCCGGUAGUCC